UACGGAGGGGGCUAGCGUUGUUCGGAAUUACUGGGCGUAAAGCGCGCGUAGGCGGACCUGCAAGUCGGGGGUGAAAGCCCGAGGCUCAACCUCGGAACUGCCUUCGAUACUGCGGGUCUCGAGUCCGGGAGAGGUGAGUGGAAUUCCUAGUGUAGAGGUGAAAUUCGUAGAUAUUAGGAAGAACACCAGUGGCGAAGGCGGCUCACUGGCCCGGUACUGACGCUGAGGCGCGACAGCGUGGGGAGCAAACAGG
rnacentral:rRNA from 1 species